rnacentral:rRNA from 1 species
UACGUAGGGUGCAAGCGUUGUCCGGAAUUAUUGGGCGUAAAGAGCUCGUAGGCGGUCUGUCGCGUCGGCUGUGAAAUCCCGAGGCUCAACCUCGGGUCUGCAGUCGAUACGGGCAAACUGGAGUGUUGCAGGGGAGACUGGAAUUCCUGGUGUAGCGGUGAAAUGCGCAGAUAUCAGGAGGAACACCAGUGGCGAAGGCGGCUCUCUGGGCCUUACCUGACGCUGAGGAGCGAAAGCGUGGGUAGCGAACAGG